AGUGGCGACCGGGUGAGUAACACGUGACUAACCUACCCUAGAGUGGGGAAUAACUUCGGGAAACCGAGGCUAAUACCGCAUAACAUCGCGAGGGGAAGAUCCUUGUGAUCAAAGGAGCAAUUCGCUCAAGGAGGGGGUCGCGGCUGAUUACGCUAGUUGGUGAGGUAACGGCCCACCAAGGCUCAGAUCAGUAGCCGGCCUGAGAGGGCGCACGGCCACACUGGAACUGAAACACGGUCCAGACUCCUACGGGAGGCAGCAGUGGGGAAUUUUGCGCAAUGGGGGAAACCCUGACGCAGCAACGCCGCGUGGAGGAUGAAGUCCCUUGGGAUGUAAACUCCUUUCGAUCGGGACGAUAAUGACGGUACCGGAAGAAGAAGCACCGGCUAACUCUGUGCCAGCAGCCGCGGUAAUACAGAGGGUGCAAGCGUUGUUCGGAAUUAUUGGGCGUAAAGGGCGCGUAGGCGGUGCGGUAAGUCUGUAGUGAAAUCUCUGGGCUCAACUCAGAGCUUGCUAUAGAAACUGCCGUGCUUGAGUGUGGGAGAGGUGAGUGGAAUUCCCGGGUGUAACGGUGAAAUGCGUAGAUAUCGGGAGGAACACCUGUG
rnacentral:rRNA from 1 species